ACUGAACAAUCUGCUAACCUGUAAAUAUCAGAUAUUCUGCUCAUGUCAGUUCAUUGUCCGUUCUCACAGGUAUGUAUUGGAUGUUAAUAUGGAGAUGGUGGAGGACGUGGUGAUGCACCCUCAGCUGGUCAGGGAGGCACCUGGAUGUUCUUGUUUCUUCAUACUGGUUUCUGCUAUUUGCAGUUUCUAUUUCUUGGUUUGGCUUCUUGGGUCCUGGAUGGUAGGCCCAGAGGUGGAAAGGCGAAGAAUUUGAUGGAAGACACAAAGAACGAGGAUGCCGAUAGUGGGGCCAAUGAGGUUUCAAGAAUCAUCGAUGGUGAUGUGGACGAUCCUUGGAUCCCGAGAUGGAUCAUUUGGCUAGCCAAAUGUGAGUUGCAAUCUCUGAAUUCCUUUCAGUUUUUUAUGGUUGUUCUCUGAUCUGCAAGU